rnacentral:lncRNA from 1 species
AUUUGUAGUGCUUUGAGGCCUAUGGUGGAAAUGGAAUUAUCUUCAAAUAAAAACUAGAUGGAAGCAUUCUGAGAAACUUCUUUGUGAUGUGUGCAUUCAUCUCCCAGAGUUGAAUAUUUCUUUUGAUGGAGCAGCCUUGAAAUACUCCUUUUGUAGUAUCUGCAAGUGGACAUUUUGAGUACUUUGAGGCCUAUGGUGGAAAAUGAAAUAUCUUCACAUAAAAAUUAGACAGAAGAAUUCUGAGAAACUUCUUUGUGAUGGGUGCCUUCUUUGCACAGAGUUGAACGUCUCUUUUGAUUGACCGGGAUGGAAACACUGUUUUUGCAGAAUCUGCAAGUGGAAAUUUGGUGUGCUUUGCUUCCUAUGGUAGAAAAGGAAAUAUCUUCACAUAAAAACUAGACAGAAGAAUUCUGAGAAACUUCUUUGUCAUGUGUGCAUUUGUCUCUCAGAGUUUAACGUUUCUGUUCAUUGAGCAGUUUUGAAACUCUCUUUUUGUAGGAUCUGCAAGUGGACAUUUGGGGCGCUUUGACACCUAUGGUGGAAAAGGAAAUAUCUUCCCAUAAAAAACAGACAGAAGAAUUCUGAGAAAUUACUUUGUGAUGUGUGCACUCAACUGACAGAGUUAAACCUUUCUUUUGAUUGAGCAGUUUGGAAACACUCUUUUUUGUAGAAUCUGCAAGUGGACAUUUGGAGUGCUUAGUGGCCUAUGUUAGAAAAGGAAAUAUCUUCACAUAAAAUCUAGACAGAAGCAAUCUGAGAAACUUCUUUGUGAUGCGUGCAUUCAUCUCACAGAGUUCAACAUUUCUUUUGAUUGAGCAGUUUGGAAACACUCUUUUUGUAGAAUCUGCAAGUAGACAUUUGGAGAACUUUGCAGCCUCUGGUAGAAAAGGAAAUAUCUUCACAUAAAAUCUGGACAGAAGCAAUCUGAGAAGCUUCUUUGUGAUGUGUGCAUUCAUCUCAUAGAGUUAAAACUUUAUCUUGAUUGAGCAAUUUUGAAACUCUCUUUUUGUAGAAUCUGCUAGUGGACAUUUGGAGUGCUUUGAGUCUUAUGAUUAAAAAGGAAAUAUCAUCACACAAAAACUAGACUGAAGAAUUUGGAGAAACUUCUUUGUAAUGUGUGCAUUCAUCGCUCAGAGUUGAACCUUUCUUUUGAUUGAGCAGUUUGGAAACACUUUUUUUUUUAAUCUGCAAGUGGACAUUUAGAGCGCUUUGCAGCCUAUGGUAGAAAAGGAAAUAUCUUCACAUAACAUCUAGACAGAAGCAAUCUGAGAAACUUCUUUGUGAUGUGUGCAUUCUUCCCAUAGAGUUAAACCUUCAUUUUGAUUGAGGAGUUUUGAAACUCUCUUUUUGUAGAAUCUGCAAGUAGACAUUUGGAGCGCUUUGACGCCUACGGUGGAAAGGAAAUAUCUUCACAUAAAAACUAGACAGAAGAAUUCUGACAAACUUCUUUGUGAUGUGUGCUGUCAUCUCACAGAUUUGAAAAUUUCUUUUGAUUCAUCAGUUUGGAAACACUCUUUUUGUUGAAUCUACAAAUGGACAUCUGGAGCACUUUUUGUCCUAUGGAAGAAAAUGAAGUAUCUUCACAUAAAGUCUAGACAGAAACAAUCUGAGAAACUUCUCUCUGACAUGUGCAUUCAUCUCACAGAGUUAAACAUUUCUUUUGAUUGAGGAGUUUUGAAACUCUCUUUUUGCAGAAUCUGCAAGUGGACAGUUGGAGCCCUUUGAGGCCUAUGGUGGAAAAGGAAAUAUCUUCACAUAAAAACUAGACAGAAGAAUUAUGAGAAACUUCUUUGUGAUACGUGUGUUCAUCUCACAGAGUUGAACUUUUCUUUUGAUUGAGCAGUUUGGAAACACUCUUUUUGUACAACCUGCAAGUGUACAUUUGGUGCACUCUGUGGCCUACAGUAGAAAAGGAAAUACCUUCACAUAAAACCUAGACAGAAGCAAUCUGAGAAACUUCUUUGUGAUAUGUGUAUUCAACUCACAGAGUUAAACCUUUCUUUUGAUUGAGCAGUUCUGAAACUCUUUCUGUAGAAUCUUCAAGUGGACAUUUGGAGCGGUUUGAGGCCUAUGGUGGAAAAGUAAAUAUCUUCACAUAAAAACUGGACAGAAGAAUUCUGAGAAACUUCUUUGUGAUAUGUGAAUUCGUCUCACAGAGUUGAGCCUUUCUUUUGAUUGAGCAGUUUGGAAUCACUCUUUUUGUAGAAUCUGCAAGUGGACAUUUGGAGUGCUUUGCGGCCUGUUGUAGAAAGGGAAAUAUCUUCAUAUCACAUCUAGACAGAAGCAAUCUGAGAAACUUCUUUAUGAUGUGUGCAUUCAUCUCAUAGAGUUAAACCUUUCUUUUGAUUGAGCAGUUUUGAAACUCUCUUUUUGUAGAAACUGCAAGUGGACAUUUGGAGCGCUUUGAGGCCUAUGGUGGAAAAGGAAAUAUCUUCACAUAAAAACUAGACAGAAGAAUUCUGAGAAACUUCUUUGUGAUUUGUGCAUUCAUCUCACAGAGUUAAACUUUUCUUUUUAUUGAGCAGUUUGGAAAGCCUCUGUUUGUAGAAUCUGCAAGUGGAUAUUUGGAACGCUUUGCAGCCUAUAGUAGAAAAGGAAAUAUCUUCACAUAAAAUCUAGAAAGAAGCAAUCUGUGAAACUUCUUUGUGAUGUGUGCAUUCAUCUCACAGAGUUAAGCCUUUCUUUUGACUGACCAGUUUUGAAACUCUCUUUUUGUAGUAUCUGUAAGUGGACAAUCUGAACACUUGGAGGCCUCAGCUGGAAAAGGAAAUAUCUUCAUGUAAAACUAGACAGAAGAAUUCUGAGAAACUUCAUUGUGAUAUGUGCGUUCAUCUCACAGAGUUGAAGCUUUCUUUUUAUUAAGCAGAUUGGAAACACGCUUUUUGUAGAAUCUGCAACUGGACAGUUAGAGCGAUUUGUGGCCUACUGUAGAAAAGGAAACAUCUUCACAUAAAAUCCAGACAGAAGCAAUCUGAAAAACUUCUUUGUGAUGUGUGCAUUCAUCUCACAGAGUUAACCCUUCCUUUUGAUUGAGGCGUUUUGAAACUCUCUUUUUGUGGAAUCUGCAAGUGGACAUUUGGAGCGUCUUCAGGCCUAUGGUGGAAAGGAAAUAUCUUCACUUAAAAACUAGACAGAAGAAUUCUGAGAAAAUUCUUUGUGAUGUGUGCAUUCAUCUCACAGACUUGAGCCUUUCUUUUGAUUGAGCAGUUUGAAAACACUCUUUUUGUAAAAUCUGCAAGUGGACAUUUGGAGUGCUUUGCAGCCUUUGCUAGAAAAGGAAAUAUCUUCACAUAGAAUCUAGACAGAAGCAAUCUGAGAAACUUCUUUGUGAUGCAUGCAUUCGUCUCACAGAGUUCAACAUUUCUUUUGAUUGAGCAAUUUGGAAACACUCUUUUUGUAGAAUCUGCAGGUAGAUAUUUGGAGCACGUUGCGGCCUGUGGUAGAAAAGGAAAUAUCUUCACAUAAAAUCUGCACAGAAGCAACCUGAGAAACUUCUUUGUGAUGUGUGCAUUCAUCUAAUAGAGUUAAAACUUCAUCUUGAUUGAGCAGUUUUGAAACUCUCUUUUUGUAGAAUGUGGUAGUGGACAUUUGGAGUGCUUUGAGUCUUAUGAUUAAAAAGGAAAUAUCAUCACACAAAAACUAGACUGAAGAAUUUGGAGAAACUUUUUUUGUGAUGCGUGCAUUCAUUGAUCAGAGUUGAACAUGACUUUUGAUUGAGCAGUUUGGAAACACUCUUUUUGUUGAAUCUACAAGUGGACAUUUGGAGCGCUUUGCAGCCUACGGUAGAAAAGGAAAUAUCUUCACAUAAAAUCUAGACAGAAACAAUCUGAGAAACUUCCCUGUGAUGUGUGCAUUCAUCUCACAGAGUUCAACUUUUCUUUUGAUUGAGCAGUUUGGAAACACUCUUUUUGUAGAAACUGCAAGUGGACAUUUGGUGCACUUUGAGGCCUACGGUAGAAAAGGAUAUAUCUUCAUAUAAAAUGUAGACAGAAGCAAUCUGAGAAACUUCUUUGCAAUGUGUGCAUUCAUCUCACAGAGUUAAACCUUUCUUUUGAUUGAACAGCUUUGAAACUCUUUUUGUACAAUCUACAAGAGUACAUUUGGAACGCUUCGAGGCCUAUGGUGGAAAAGGAAAUAUCUUCACAUAAAAACUAGACAGAAAAAUUCUGAGAAAUUUCUUUGUGAUGUGUGAACUCAUGUCACAGAGUUAAACCUUUCUUUUGAUUGAGCAGUUUCAAAACUCUUUUUGUAGAAUCUGCAAGUGGACAUUUUUAGCGCUUUGAGGCCUAUGGUGGAAAGGAAAUAUCUUCACAUAAAAACUGGACAGAAGAAUUCUGAGAAAGUUCUUUGUGAUGUGUGCGUUUGUCUCACAGAGUUGAACCUUUCUUUCAAUUGAGCAGUGUGGAAACACUGUUUUUGUAGAACCUGCAAAUGGACAUUUGGAGUGCUUUGUGGCCUAUGGUAGAAAAGGAAUUAUCUUCACAUAAAAUCUAGACAGAAGCUAUCUGAGAAACUUCUUUGUGACUUGUGCAUUCAUCUCGUGGAGUUAAACCUUUCUUUUGAUUGAGCAGUUUUGAAACUCUCUUUUUGCAGAAUCUGCAAGAGUACAUUUGGAACGCUUUGAGGCCUAUGGUGGAAAAUGAAAUAUCUUCACAUAAAAACUAGACAGAAUAAUUCUGAGAAACUUCUUUGUGAUGUGUGCAUUCAUCUCACAAUGUUAAACCUUUCUUUUGAUUGAGCAGUUUUGAAACUCUUUUUGUAGAAUCUGCACGUGGACAUUUUUAGCCUUUGAGGCCUAUGGUGGCAAGGAAAUAUCUUCAGAUAAAAACUGGACAGAAGCAAUCUGAGAAACUUCUUUGUUAUGUGUGCAUUCAUCUCACAGAGUUGAACCUUUCUUUUGAUUGAGCAGUUUGGAAACACUCUUUUUGUAGAAUCUGCAAGUGAACAUUUGAAGCGCUUUGCAGCCUAUGGUAGAAAAGGAAUUGUCUUCACAUAAAAUCUAGAGAGAAGCAAAACUUUCUUUUGAUUGAGUAGUUUUGAAACUCUCUUUUCGUAGAAACUGCAAGUGGACAUAUGGAGCGCUUUGAGGCCUAAGCUCUAAAAGGAAAUAACUUCCCAUAAAAACUAGACAGAAGAAUUCUGAGAAACUUCUUGUGAUGUGUGAGUUCAUCUCACAGAGUUGAACCUUUCUUUUAUUGAGCAGUUUGGAAACUCUCUUUUUGUGGAAUCUGCAAGUGGACACUUGGAGCGCUUUGCCGCCUGUGGUAGAAAAGGAAAUAUAUUCACAUAAAAUCUAGACAGAAGCAAUCUGAGAAACUUCUUUGUGAUGUGUGCAUUCAUCUCACAGAGUUAAACUUUUCUUUUGCUUGAGAAAUUUAGAAAGCUUCUGUUUGUAGAAUCUGCAAGUGGACAUUUAGAGCACUUUGCUGCCUAUGGUAGAAAAGGAAAUAUCUUCACAUAAAAUCUAGACUGAAGCAAUCUGAGAAAAUUCUUCGUGAUGUGUGCAUUCAUCUGACAGAGUUGAACCUUUCUUUUGAUUGAGCAGUUUGGAAACACUCUUUUAGUAGAAUCUGCAAGUGGAUAUUUGGGGCCCUUGGGGUCUGAAUGAUUGUCCCUCACAUAGGAUUGGUGAACACUGCUGCUGGGGUCUGAAUGUUUGUCCCUCACAUAGGAUCCCAGAACACUGCUGCUGGGGUCUAUAUGUAUGUCCGUCACGUGGGAUUCCAAAACACUGCUGCUGGGUUCUGACUGUUUCUCCCUCUCAUAGAAUUCCAUAGCACUGCGACGAGGUUCUGAAUGUUUGUCCGUAACAUAGGAUUCCAGAACCCCCCGCCUGUUGUUUAAAUGUUUGUCCCUCACAUUGGAUUCCAGAACACUGCUGCUGGAUUCUGAAUGUUUGUCACUCACAGAGGAUUCCAGAACACUGCUACUAUUGUCUGAAUGUUUGUCCCUCACAUAGGAUUCUAGAACCCUCCUAAGAGUGUGUGAAUGUUUGUUCCUCACAUAGAUUUCCAGAUCACUGCUACGAUUGUCUGAAUGUUUGUCCUACACUUAGGAUUCCAGAACACUGCUAUGACAGUCGAAUGAUUGUCCCUCACACAGAAUUCCAGAACACUGCUACGAGGGUCUGAAUGAUUGUCCCUCACAUAGGAUUCGAGGACACUGCUGCUGGGGUCUGAAUGUUUUUCCCUCACAUAGGAUCCUAGAACACUGUUGCUGGGGUCUACAUGUGUGUCUGUCACAUAGGAUUCCAAAACACUGCUGCUGGGUUCUGACUGUUUUUCCCUGACAUAGAAUUCAAGAACACUGCGACGAGGUUCUGAAUGUUUGUCCGUAACAUAGGAUUCCAGAACGCCCCCUCCCCGUAGCUUAAAUGUUUGUCCCUCACAUUGGAUUCCAGAACACUGCUACGAUCGUCUGAAUGUUUGUCCUUCACAUAGGAUUCCAAAACAUUGCUACGGGGGUCUGAAUGUUUGUUCUUCACAUAGGAUUCCAGAACACUCCUGCUGUGUUCUGAAUGUUAGUUCCUCCUAUAGGAUUCACGAACACUGUCACGAGGUUCUGAAUGUUUGUUCCGCACAUAGGAAUCCAAAACACUCCUGCUGUGUUCCGAGUGUUUGUCCCUCACAUGGGAUUCCAGAACAAUCCUGCCGUGGUCUGAAUGUGAGUCCCUCACAUAGGUUUCUGGAACACUGCUGCUGGGUUCUGUGUGUUUCUCCCUCACGUAGAAUUCCAUAACACUGUGAAGAGAUUAUUAAUGGUUGUCCGUAACAUAGGAUUCCAGAACAAUCUCGGUGUUGUUUGAAUGUUUUUCCCUUACAUAGGUUUCCAGAACACUGCUACGUUUGUCUGAAUGUUUGUCCCUCACAUAGGAUUCCAGAACACUGCUGGGAGGGUCUGAAUGUUUUUCCCUCACAUGGGAUUCCAGAACACUGCUAUGAUUGUCUGAAUGUUUGUCCCUCACUUAGGAUUCCAGAACACAGCCAC